GUGUGGGGGGAGGUGAUAGGUCUCUCACCGUAGGGCUCUUCAGACAUGGUGGUGUGGGGGGGGAGGUGAUAGGUCUCUCACCGUAGGGCUCUUCAGACAUGGUGGUGUGGGGGGGGGUGAUAGGUCUCUCACCGUAGGGCUCUUCAGACAUGGUGGUGUGGGGGGGGGGAUAGGUCUCUCACCGUAGGGCUCUUCAGACAUGGUGGUGGUGGGGGGGGGGGUGAUAGGUCUCUCACCGUAGGGCUCUUCAGACAUGGUGGUGGUGUGGGGGGAGGUGAUAGGUCUCUCACCGUAGGGCUCUUCAGACAUGGUGGUGUGGGGGGGGGGAGGGGGUGAUAGGUCUCUCACCGUAGGGCUCUUCAGACAUGGUGGUGUGGGGGGGGGAGGUGAUAGGUCUCUCACCGUAGGGCUCUUCAGACAUGGUGGUGUGGGGGGGGUGAUAGGUCUCUCACCGUAGGGCUCUUCAGACAUGGUGGUGGUGGGGGGGGGGAGGUGAUAGGUCUCUCACCGUAGGGCUCUUCAGACAUGGUGGUGGUG
ensembl:lncRNA